rnacentral:rRNA from 1 species
AUUGAACGCUGGCGGCAGGCCUAACACAUGCAAGUCGAGCGGAUGAACGGAGCUUUCUCCUGGAUUCAGCGGCGGACGGGUGAGUAAUGCCUAGGAAUCUGCCUGGUAGUGGGGGAUAACGUCCGGAAACGGGCGCUGAUACCGCAUACGUCCUGAGGGAGAAAGUGGGGGAUCUUCGGACCUCACGCUAUCAGAUGAGCCUAGGUCGGAUUAGCUAGUUGGUGGGGUAAAGGCCUACCAAGGCGACGAUCCGUAACUGGUCUGAGAGGAUGAUCAGUCACACUGGAACUGAGACACGGUCCAGACUCCUACGGGAGGCAGCAGUGGGGAAUAUUGGACAAUGGGCGAAAGCCUGAUCCAGCCAUGCCGCGUGUGUGAAGAAGGUCUUCGGAUUGUAAAGCACUUUAAGUUGGGAGGAAGGGCAGUAAGUUAAUACCUUGCUGUUUUGACGUUACCAACAGAAUAAGCACCGGCUAACUUCGUG